CUUAAAAUUGAUGUGUUAAAAUUUUACACAAAAUAUGUGUAAAAGGAUUCCAACACAUUUUUGUGUUAGAACUGACACAUAAUGUGUAAAUAUUAUGCUUAACUGCUUACACAAUGAAUGUGUAAAACACGUUUACCAGUACACCAUACAAUAAAAUGCAUAAUUAUUGUAAUUUAAUGAUGAUUUAUAUUUAAACGAAGUAACAAAAUAAAGUAUAUCUACUGUUAACCAAAAUAUAUCUACUGUUAACCAAAAUAUAUCUACUGUUAAUCACUACUACCACAUAACAGCCAGCGGGGAUUUUCAUAAGGACUUGUCGAGAUCAAGCUGCGUUGGGCGGGGUACAUGAGCACUGAGUAUCCGGUGGUUGUCUGGAUCAGAACUCCGAAAGAGUCGGAGCAGAUUUUUUAAUAAACGCUAUCUUUAUUAACCGACCGCACAUUUGAUCUUUUUAUACAUACAUUCUCGCCUAAAUAGCUUUUGAAUAUACAUUUUGUGACACAAUAAGAGUAAUAUUUCAAACAUUAUGCAGGCGCUCUCUUCCAUUGGUGGCUGUUGGUAAGUUCACACGAAUCAGCUGAUGACGUUUCACUUGGACAGACAACCAUGCAUGCAUUGUUGUAUAUUUUUUGCGUGUGUUAUUAUUAUUUUAUUAUUAUGAAAUUCGUGAACAUUAUUAUUGAGCCUUGGCAGUCUAUUUUGUAUUUGUUUUAUUGAGGAGAAAAAAACAGACAAGAACGCAUAUUGUGUUGCGCCUGCGCUGUGACGUUCUUUUUUCCAUUCCAACCGCAUUUCCAGUCAAGAGGUCAAGAAUGUUCCUGUCUGCAUCAGCUUUCCACUGCCACUCGCAAAGGAGAUUGUGUUGUUGGAUUAUGGUAUAAUUUGGUCAAAAUGAGGGACAUGUACUGUAAGGAUGCUUUUACAUACUUCAUUUAUGUGUAUGAAAUACUUACUUGACAAUGUGUAUAACUGUACUUGACUCUAACUUAGUGCUAUUUUUGCAUUGAUCAUGAUAGGAACAUUUUUCUUUUUUUUCUUUUAUUUUUGAUGGGCCAUCACACAGUGGAUUUAUAAAAAUGAGACUACAGAACAUCAGACGGAAGCUUCAACAUGUGAGAGGACAUCAUCAAUAAAGAAUGCCAUUGACCAAACCUUCAGUCAUCAAAGGAGAUGGAUACAGGUGGACAUUGAGUUUCCAGACUUACCGAUAGGAAAGAAGACAUGUUUAUCAGGAAAUGGGAGGUGACAAUUAUUGAGAAAUUCGGGGAAAUAGCAUCUUUAGAGAAGAAAAUGGACAUCAGACAUUCAUUGAAGAAAGCUGACAGUCAACAUAAUGAUCUUCUGCUGUGUGAAUUCUGCUGUCUCAGACCUGUGGGACUUGGUGGCGGCUGGUACCAGCGUGACCUCUUUGCUUACUAAAUGAUGAAAAGGUGUCUAAAAUCAGCUCAGCCACAGUUGGUUUCCAGCGGUUCUUCAGGACAUAGAGGCCACUAUGUAAUUGUCGCAAUGAAUGAUUCUCUUGCCUUUCCACUUGAUGUUUACAAUCUGACCUGUGCGGUAGACAGACUUUUCAAAUUUACUAGCUAAGUAACCUUAAGUAUCCCUGCCAACUGUCUUCAGUUUUUUUUUUGGUAUGAAUAUGAUCUACCCUUGUCCCAGUCCUCUUGCAAACGAUCCAAGCCAAUGGAGUUUCAAAAUGGACCGCAAAAUUGCAGUCUGUUUUAACCAAUGCAUGCACUGUGUGGCGGUUUCCCGGACAGGGAUUAGACUAGUCCUAGACUAAAACAUUUUUAAGAGCUGUCCAAACUGAAAACAACUUGCACUGACACAUCUUGAAAUACAUCAGUGGCCUUUUUUUGCCUCAAAAUGCACACAGGUAAUGUUUUUAGUAAGGCAUGUUUGUUAAAACCAGAUAUAUUUCCUAAUUAAUCUAAGGCAUAGUCCUGGAUUAAGAUAUCCCUGUCCGGGAAACUACCCCUAAAUAUUUUGUGAUGGAAAUUUCUUUGAAUACACUUGUCAAGUUCAUUUGAAGUAUUUUUCUUAAUGUAAAAUAACGUGUUAAUGUUUCAGGACAAGGUAAGAAUUUUUGAUAACUUGCAUGUUGAAAACGAUUUCAGACAUUGUUUCAACACAUGUGCUUUUAAAUUCAAUGAAUUAUUUUAUAA